rnacentral:miRNA from 1 species
CGGGCUUGGGCAAAAUUUUAGGCU